AUUGAACGCUGGCGGCAGGCUUAACACAUGCAAGUCGAGCGGGGGAGGUUGCUUCGGUAACUGACCUAGCGGCGGACGGGUGAGUAAUGCUUAGGAAUCUGCCUAUUAGUGGGGGACAACAUUCCGAAAGGGAUGCUAACACCGCAUACGCCCUACGGGGGAAAGCAGGGGAUCUUCGGACCUCGCGCUAAUCGAUGAGCCUAAGUCGGAUUAGCUAGUUGGUGGGGUAAAGGCCUACCAAGGCGACGAUCUGUAGCGGGUCUGAGAGGAUGAUCCGCCACACUGGGACUGAGACACGGCCCAGACUCCUACGGGAGGCAGCAGUGGGGAAUAUUGGACAAUGGGCGGAAGCCUGAUCCAGCCAUGCCGCGUGUGUGAAGAAGGCCUUUUGGUUGUAAAGCACUUUAAGCGAGGAGGAGGCUCUUAAGGUUAAUACCCUUGAUGAGUGGACGUUACUCGCAGAAUAAGCACCGGCUAACUCUGUGCCAGCCGCCGCAGUAAAAC
rnacentral:rRNA from 1 species